CGGGGAAACUCACCAGGUCCAGACACAAUAAGGAUUGACAGAUUGAGAGCUCUUUCUUGAUUUUGUGGGUGGUGGUGCAUGGCCGUUCUUAGUUGGUGGAGUGAUUUGUCUGCUUAAUUGCGAUAACGAACGAGACCUUAACCUACUAAAUAGCGCGACUAGCUUUUGCUGGUGCUGACGCUUCUUAGAGGGACUAUCGAUUUCAAGUCGAUGGAAGUUUGAGGCAAUAACAGGUCUGUGAUGCCCUUAGACGUUCUGGGCCGCACGCGCGCUACGCUGACGGAGCCAGCGAGUCUAGCCUUGGCCGAGAGGUCAUGGGUAAUCUUGUGAAACUCCGUCGUGCUGGGGAUAGAGCAUUGCAAUUAUUGCUCUUCAACGAGGAAUUCCUAGUAAGCGCAAGUCAUCAGCUUGCGUUGAUUACGUCCCUGCCCUUUGUACACACCGCCCGUC
rnacentral:rRNA from 1 species